UACGUAGGGUGCAAGCGUUGUCCGGAAUUAUUGGGCGUAAAGAGCUCGUAGGCGGCUUGUCGCGUCGACUGUGAAAUCCCGCGGCUCAACUGCGGGUCUGCAGUCGGAUACGGGCAGGCUAGAGUUCGGUAGGGGAGACUGGAAUUCCUGGUGUAGCGGUGAAAUGCGCAGAUAUCAGGAGGAACACCGGUGGCGAAGGCGGGUCUCUGGGCCGAUACUGACGCUGAGGAGCGAAAGCGUGGGGAGCGAACAGG
rnacentral:rRNA from 1 species